AGGACGAACGCUGGCGGCGUGCUUAACACAUGCAAGUCGAGCGGAAAGGCCCUUCGGGGUACUCGAGCGGCGAACGGGUGAGUAACACGUGAGUAGUCUGCCCCUAGCUCUGGGAUAGCUCCGGGAAACCGGGAUUAAUACCGGAUACGACCACUUUAGACAUCUGUUGUGGUGGAAAGAAUUUUGGCUAGGGAUGAGCUCGCGGCCUAUCAGCUUGUUGGUGGGGUAAUGGCCUACCAAGGCGACGACGGGUAGCCGGCCUGAGAGGGCGACCGGCCACACUGGGACUGAGACACGGCCCAGACUCCUACGGGAGGCAGCAGUGGGGAAUAUUGCGCAAUGGGCGAAAGCCUGACGCAGCGACGCCGCGUGGGGGAUGAAGGCCUUCGGGUUGUAAACCCUUUCAGCAGGGACGAAGCGAAAGUGACGGUACCUGCAGAAGAAGCGCCGGCUAACUACGUGCCAGCAGCCGC
rnacentral:rRNA from 1 species